ACAGACAGUCACCAACAAGAAGGAAGGAAGUACAACUCAGAGUCCAAUCAGCCAACUGGCCGACCAGCAGCUGGCAUCGCACUAGUGAAGAGUUCAAGGGGUUCGUUCUGCUUUCACAGGCCACCUUCUGUAAAAGAGGAAAUGGUUCAGAAAUGGGGAGUCAACAAAAAUAAACUUCAGGUUAAACUGUUAACUUAUGAAAUAAGGACCUAAAAACUAAGGACAGAAAAAUCCAGACCUGAGCCCUAGGACCAUGCCCCAGGACCACCUGACAUGAUGACUCCUUGCUGUCCCCAGUCCACCUGACGGUGCUGCUGCUCCAGUUUCAACUGUUCUGCCUUAUUAUUAUUCGACCAUGCUCGUCAUUUAUGAACAUUUGAACAUCUUCGCCAUGUUCUGUUAUAAUCUCCACCCGGCACAGCCAGAAGAGAACUGGCCACCCCACAUAGCCUGGUUCCUCUCUAGGUUUCUUCCUAGGUUUUGGCCUUUCUAGGGAGUUUUUCCUAGCCACCGUGCUUCUACACCUGCAUUGCUUGCUGUUUGGGGUUUUAGGCUGGGUUUCUGUACAGCACUUUGAGAUAGCAGCUGAUGUACGAAGGUCUAUAUAAAUACAUUUGAUUUGAUUUGAAGAUUUCAUGUACCAAAUAAAAAUCGAAAGUUCA